rnacentral:rRNA from 1 species
GAUGAACGCUGGCGGCGUGCCUAAUACAUGCAAGUCGAGCGAAGCGGGGACGGGUGAGUAACAUGUGGAUAACCUCCUCUAAGACUGGGAUAACUUCGGGACUCCGGAGCUCAACCGCAUAUUUAUAGCUGGAUCCUCGCUUCAGUAGCUAGUUGGUAAGGUAACGGCUUACCAAGGCAACGAUGCAUAGCCUACCGUAGAGGGUGAUCGGCCACACUGGAACUGAGACACGGUCCAGACUCCUACGGGAGGCAGCAGUAGGGAAGCUUCCGCAAUGGGCGAAAGCCUGACGGAGCAAAGCCGCGUGAGUGAUGAAGGUCUUCGGAUCGUAAAACUCUGUGAUUAGGGAAGCGGUACCUAAUCAGAAAGCCACGGCUAACUACGUGCCAGCAGCCGCGGUAAUUC